UACGGAGGGUGCAAGCGUUAUCCGGAUUUACUGGGUUUAAAGGGUGCGUAGGUGGCGCCGUAAGUCAGGUGUGAAAUUUCGGAGCUUAACUCCGAAACUGCAUUUGAUACUGCGGUGCUUGAGGACUGGAGAGGAGACUGGAAUUCACGGUGUAGCAGUGAAAUGCGUAGAUAUCGUGAGGAAGACCAGUGGCGAAGGCGGGUCUCUGGACAGUUCCUGACACUGAGGCACGAAGGCCAGGGGAGCAAACGGG
rnacentral:rRNA from 1 species